AGAAGAGGAUCUUUACCGUCUCAGCCACAACCUUCUGGUUGUGCUUGAAAAAUAUGGAGUUCAACUAUGUUUUUUGAAGUCAUAUGUGACUUAUAUUUUGUGACUACUCAAUGGUCAAAUAAUAUAUAUUUUGUCCUGUGGAUUUUGGAGAUAUUCAAGCUAGCCAAAUUUUGAACCUGUGUUUAGCAAAACAGGAGAAACAAUUGGAGUAAACUAUAUGGGAAUGGAAAUAACAGAUCAGGUGAGAAAAAGAGAAAGAAUGGCUAAGCUAAGGGAAGAAAUUGCAGUUCAGAAAGCUAAGGAAACAUAACUUAAUAAAACCAUUCACAUUACAG